rnacentral:rRNA from 1 species
AGCCGCCGCGGUAAUACCCGCAGCUCGAGUGGUAGUCGAUUUUAUUGGGCCUAAAGCGUCCGUAUCCGGUCUGGUAAAUGCCUGGGUAAAUCGUCUGGCUUAACCAGACGAAUUCCGGGUAGACUGCCAGACUUGGGACCGGUUGAGGAAGAGGGUACUUCAGGGGUAGGAGUGAAAUCCUGUAAUCCUUGAAGGACCACCAGUGGCGAAGGCGCUCUUCUAGGACGGGUCCGACGGUGAGGGACGAAAGCCAGGGGAGCAAACCGGAUUAGAUACCCGGGUAGUCCUGGCCGUAAACGAUGUGGGCUUGGCAUUGGGGGUUCUACGUGAGCGCCCAGUGUCGUAGCGAAGGCGUUAAGCCCACCGCCUGGGAAGUAUGGUCGCAAGGCUGAAACUUAAAGGAAUUGGCGGGGGAGCACAGCAACGGGAGGAGCGUGCGGUUUAAUUGGAUUCAACGCCGGAAAACUCACCGGAGGAGACUGUCGCAUGUGGGUCAGGCUGAAGACCUUACCCGAACAAAAGACAGAGAGGUGGUGCAUGGCCGCCGUCAGCUCGUACCGUAGGGCGUUCUGUUAAGUCAGAUAACGAGCGAGACCCCUGCCCUUAGUUGCCACUCUGGAGUCCGCUUCAGAAGCACACUAAGGGGACCGCUGGUGAUAAACCAGAGGAAGGAGGGGGCAACGGUAGGUCAGUAUGCCCUGAAUCCUCCGGGCAACACGCGCGCUACAAAGGCUGGGACAAUGGGUUGCAACCCCGAAAGGGGAAGCUAAUCCCGAAACCCAGUCGUAGUUCGGAUUGAGGACUGCAACCCGUCCUCAUGAAGCUGGAUUCCGUAGUAAUCGCAGAUCAACAUCCUGCGGUGAAUAUGCCCCUGCUCCUUGCACACACCGCCCGUCAAGCCAGGCGAGUUGGGUCUGGGUGAGGGUCUGCUUUAUGGCAAAUUCGAACCCAGGCUCAGCGAGCGGGGCUAAGUCGUAACAAGGUAUCCGUAGGGGAACCUGCGGAUGGAUCACCUCCUA